rnacentral:rRNA from 1 species
UUUKGUUUAAAUGUUUUUUYSCCUWAAGAAKGGUUYKSGGCCGRUUWAGGGUAGUUGGKUWAGGKWAAUGSCUUMCCAAGCCGUUGGUUCGGGUMCGGGUUGUWAGAGCAAARASCCCSGGAGAAUGGAACCYUGAGRCCAAGGUUUCCAGSCCCYUACGGGGGKKSCAGCAGGCGCGAAACCCUCCGCCAAUGUGAGAAAAUCGCGACGGGGGGAUCCCCAAGUGCCAUUCCUAACGGGAUGAAUUUACAUUAGUGUAAAAAGCUUUUGGAAUAAGAGCUGGGCAAGACCGGUGCCAGCCGCCGCGGUAACACCGGCAGCUCUAGUGGUAGCAAUUUUUAUUGGGCCUAAAGCGUCCGUAGCCGGUUUAAUAAGUCUCUGGUGAAAUCCUGUAGCUUAACUGUGGGAAUUGCUGGAGAUACUAUUAGACUUGAGACCGGGAGAGGUUAGAGGUACUCCCAGGGUAGAGGUGAAAUUCUGUAAUCCUGGGAGGACCGCCUGUUGCGAAGGCGUCUAACUGGAACGGUUCUGACGGUGAGGGACGAAAGUUAGGGGCGCGAACCGGAUUAGAUACCCGGGUAGUCCUAACUGUAAACGACGCGGCCUCUUUUGGGGUGGCUUUGAGCUGCUCCAGUGCSGAAGGGAAGCUGUUAAGUCCSCC